UUGACCUCAAAUCAGGUAGGACUACCCGCUGAACUUAAGCAUAUAAUUAAGCG
rnacentral:rRNA from 1 species